rnacentral:rRNA from 1 species
AUUGAACGCUAGCGGGAUGCUUUACACAUGCAAGUCGAACGAGUGGCGGACGGGUGAGUAAUAUAUCGGAAGUGCCCAGUAGCGGGGGAUAACUACUCGAAAGAGUGGCUAAUACCGCAUACUAUCGGAUAACCCAUAUGGGAUUAGUUAGUAGGUGAGGUAAUGGCUCACCUAGGCGACGAUCCCUAGCUGGUCUGAGAGGAUGAUCAGCGAGACUGGGACUGAGAAACAGCCCAGACUCGAACGGAGGGCGCAGUGGGGAAUAUUGCACAAUGGGCGCAAGCCUGAUGCAGCCAUGCCGCGUAUAUGAAGAAGGCCCUAGGGUUGUAAAGUACUUUCAGUCGGGAGGCGUUACCGACAGAAGAAGCGCCGGCUAACUCCGUGCCAUACGCCGCGGUAAUAC